rnacentral:rRNA from 1 species
UACAGAGGGUGCGAGCGUUAAUCGGAAUUACUGGGCGUAAAGCGUGCGUAGACGGUAGCGUAAGUCAGAUGUGAAAGCCCCGGGCUCAACCUGGGAAUUGCAUUUGAGACUGCUCUGCUCGGGUGCGGAAGAGGGAAGCGGAAUUUCCGGUGUAGCGGUGAAAUGCGUAGAUAUCGUAAGGAAGACCAGUGGCGAAGGCGGGUCUCUGGACAGUUCCUGACGCUGAGGCACGAAGGUCAGGGGAGCAAACGGG